GGCAUAGGAAGUUCCACAAAGAAGGGACUGUUAAUCCCUUCAGCCCCCACUGGCGGCCCCAUGGAACCCAAGAGGGCUGGCUGCAUCUUAGGACUACAGGUCCCAGCAUGCCCUGAGGGCGUCCGAGUAGGGAUCCUAAUCUAAGGUGGCUACCACUUAACAUUUUGGUGAAGAAAAUGUCCUGAAGAAAUUGACUUCCCUGGUCCUUCCAUUAUGCUGUCCUCCCCACUGGUUAAGGAUCCCUGUUCAGUCCCGGCCUGGAUGCCAGUCUCUAUAUGUCAUCCAUUAUUACAUACAUACAUGAACACACACAUACAUUUCUUGUUCAGUCAUUUUCCAACCCACUAAGUCCUGAACUGGGUUGCAGGAGUCUGCUGGAACCUAUCCCAGUUAGCAUAGGGCGCAAGGUAGGAACAAACCCCAGACAGGGCACUGCAGGGCAAACACACACCAAUCACACAUUAGGGGCCAAUUUAGAAUCGCCAGUUC